GAUGAAGAACGUAGCGAAAUGCGAUAAGUAAUGCGAAUUGCAGAAUUUCCGUGAGUCAUCGAAUCUUUGAACGCACAUUGCGCCCACUGGUAUUCCGGUGGGCAUGCCUGUUCGAGCGUCAUUAUCCUCCCUCAAACCCCGGGUUUGGUGUUGGACCCAAGUUGUGUGAACAACUGGUCUCAAAGACAAUGACGGCGUCCGUGGGACCCUCGGUGCAACGAGCUUUUAGGAGCACGCAUCGAGUUGCAAGGACCUUCCGGGCCGGUCUCCUUUACCAUUUUACAAGGUUGACCUCGGAUCAGGUAGGAAUACCCGCUGAACUUAAGCAUAUCAAUAAGCGGAGG
rnacentral:misc_RNA from 1 species